rnacentral:ncRNA from 1 species
AAAAAUGCCAUGAAGAGAAGAGUAUAUAUCCCGAUUUCUUUAAAGAGAGCCCUGGAAGCUGAAAAGGGGCAGGAAGGACGGUAUUGAACCAAGGCUCUGAGCAGCGCAUCGGAACCGGGAACGGGGAUGGUGUGACGGGAGCUCCCGUUAAGGAGCUAGGGUAUAAGCCGAAUUGGCCGUACCCGAAAAGGCCGGUAUGGUGACAUGCUGGCGAACUGGGGUGGCACCGCGAUCUAUAAUCUCGCCCCCAAG